rnacentral:rRNA from 1 species
AUUGAACGCUGGCGGCAGGCCUAACACAUGCAAGUCGAACGAGUGGCGGACGGGUGAGUAAUGUCUGGGAAACUGCCUGAUGGAGGGGGAUAACUACUGGAAACGGUAGCUAAUACCGCAUACCAUCGGAUGUGCCCAGAUGGGAUUAGCUAGUAGGUGGGGUAAAGGCUCACCUAGGCGACGAUCCCUCGCUGGUCUGAGAGGAUGACGGGCCAAUCGGGAACGGAGACACGGUCCAGACUCCUACGGGAGGAAGCAGUGGGGAAUAUUGGACAAGGGGCGAAAGCCUGAUGCAGCCAUGCCGGGGGUAUGAAGAAGGCCUGCGGUUUGUAAAGUACUUUCAGCGGGGAGGCGUUACCCGAAGAAGAAGCACCGGCUAACUCCGUGCCAGCAGCCGCGGUAAUUC